rnacentral:rRNA from 1 species
CUAAUACCGCAUAAGCGCACAGGACCGCAUGGUCCGGUGUGAAAAACUCCGGUGGUGUAAGAUGGACCCGCGUUGGAUUAGCUGGUUGGUGGGGUAACGGCCUACCAAGGCGACGAUCCAUAGCCGGCCUGAGAGGGUGAACGGCCACAUUGGGACUGAGAUACGGCCCAGACUCCUACCGGAGGCAGCAGUGGGGAAUAUUGGGCAAUGGGCGCAAGCCUGACCCAGCAACGCCGCGUGAAGGAAGAAGGCUUUCGGGUUGUAAACUUCUUUUGUCAGGGACGAGUAGAAGACGGUACCUGACGAAUAAGCCACGGCUAAAUACGUGCCAGCAGCCGCGGUAAUACGUAGGUGCCAAGCGUUGUCCGGAUUUACUGGGUGUAAAGGGCGUGUAGCCGGGAAGGCAAGUCAGAUGUGAAAUCCACGGGCUCAACUCGUGAACUGCAUUUGAAACUGUUUUUCUUGAGUAUCGGAGAGGCAAUCGGAAUUCCUAGUGUAGCGGUGAAAUGCGUAGAUAUUAGGAGGAACACCAGCGGCGAAGGCGGAUUGCUGGACGACAACUGACGGUGAGGCGCGAAAGCGUGGGCAGCAAACAGGAUUAGAUACCCUGGUAGUCCACGCUGU